ACAACGUUUGGACCGUCGGUCUACCGAGCAAAUAUCACCCGCUCGGUGGAAGAUCUUCCCUUUGUCAU
rnacentral:pre_miRNA from 1 species